rnacentral:rRNA from 1 species
CCCUUAGAUGUCCUGGGCCGCACGCGUGCUACACUGGUACAUUCAACGAGUUUACAACCUGAACUGAUAAGUUUGGGUAAUCUUUUGAAAAUGUACCGUGAUUGGGAUAGAUGAUUGCAAUUGUUCAUCUUCAACGAGGAAUACCUAGUAAACGCAAGUCAUCAGCUUGCAUUGAUUACGUCCCUGCCCUUUGUACACACCGCCCGUCGCACCUACCGAUUGAAUGGUCCGGUGAAAUCUUCGGAUUGAGACUUUGAUUUCUUCACGGAAAACGCUGUUUUAAAAAGUUGAUUAAACCUUACCAUUUAGAGGAAGGUGAAGUCGUAACA